rnacentral:lncRNA from 1 species
GCACAAAGCACAUCUCUAUUGCUCCCUGCUGUACUCCCAGUGGCUAGCACUGGAAUUGUGACUUAAUAAAAGAAUGAAUAAGUGAAAUGUACAAAAAGCAACAGUGCUCUUAGCCCCCUUUAUAUCACUGUGGCCCACCGGUCAGGUGCUGGGCCCGCCCUCUUCUUCCUACCUGGAGCUCUGGAAGGUGUUCAUCAGCCUCCCUUCCUGCUGGGUCUGGCGCUUACAGCUGCGCUCUGGCCGCCCAAAUGCAUGCAGAAGUGAGUUUUAGAUUUUUGUAUGUACUGGGACACAGGGAUUAAAAUGGGAAGAAACGGGCACUGAGCGGGGAGACCAUCAAGGACGGAGAGGAAGAACAGUGAGAAUGUAGAAAGGAAAUACUGGGAAAGAAGAAGGUCAACAUUGCUAACGAUAUCAGGGACAAGGCACUUGCAUGCAGUAGGUAUGACGUGAUGUUCAAACUCAGCCUCAGACAACUGCUGGUCUCACUGUGCAGUUCAGGCUGGCCUUGAGCUCACUUUGUAGCCCAGGCUGGUCUUGAAUUUGCAAUGAUUCAUUAUAUACUAACAUAAAACCAAAAUGGAUCAAAGAUACAAACAUUAAAACAGAAACAGUUAACCUGUUGGAAGAUAAAAUAGGUAAUACUCUUAAAAUAUAGGCAUAAGAAAGGACUUUUUCAAGUAGAACUCCAGC